GUACAAUUUUUUGACGUGUCAAAAUGGCACGUCAAAAAUUUUUUGACGUGUCAUUUUGACACGUCAAAAACGUUUCUGACGUGUCAUUUUGACACGUCAAAAAUA